AACGAACGCUGGCGGCAUGCCUAACACAUGCAAGUCGAACGAGACCUUCGGGUCUAGUGGCGCACGGGUGCGUAACGCGUGGGAACCUGCCCUUAGGUUCGGAAUAACUCCCCGAAAGGGGUGCUAAUACCGGAUAAUGUCUUCGGACCAAAGAUUUAUCGCCUUUGGAUGGGCCCGCGUUGGAUUAGCUAGUUGGUAGGGUAAAAGCCUACCAAGGCGACGAUCCAUAGCUGGUCUGAGAGGAUGAUCAGCCACGCUGGGACUGAGACACGGCCCAGACUCCUACGGGAGGCAGCAGUGGGGAAUAUUGGACGAUGGGCGAAAGCCUGAUCCAGCAAUGCCGCGUGAGUGAUGAAGGCCUUAGGGUUGUAAAGCUCUUUUACCCGGGAUGAUAAUGACAGUACCGGGAGAAUAAGCUCCGGCUAACUCCGUG
rnacentral:rRNA from 1 species